GAUGAACGCUGGCGGCGUGCCUAAUACGUGCAAGUCGAGCGAACAGACGAGGAGCUUGCUCCUCUGACGUUAGCGGCGGACGGGUGAGUAACACGUGGAUAACCUACCUAUAAGACUGGGAUAACUUCGGGAAACCGGAGCUAAUACCGGAUAAUAUAUUGAACCGCAUGGUUCAAUAGUGAAAGACGGUUUUGCUGUCACUUAUAGAUGGAUCCGCGCCGCAUUAGCUAGUUGGUAAGGUAACGGCUUACCAAGGCGACGAUGCGUAGCCGACCUGAGAGGGGGAUCGGCCACACUGGAACUGAGACACGGUCCAGACUCCUACGGGAGGCAGCAGUAGGGAAUCUUCCGCAAUGGGCGAAAGCCUGACGGAGCAACGCCGCGUGAGUGAUGAAGGUCUUCGGAUCGUAAAACUCUGUUAUUAGGGAAGAACAAAUGUGUAAGUAACUAUGCACGUCUUGACGGUACCUAAGCAGAAAGCCACGGCUAACUACGU
rnacentral:rRNA from 1 species